rnacentral:rRNA from 1 species
GAUGAACGCUAGCGGCAGGCUUAAUACAUGCAAGUCGAGGGGCAGCGCGGGUAGCAAUACCUGGCGGCGACCGGCAAACGGGUGCGGAACACGUACGCAACCUUCCCAUAACUGGUGAAUAGCCCUCCGAAAGGAGGAUUAAUACACCGUAACAUAACGAAGAGGCAUCUUUUUGUUAUUAUAGUAGCAAUACGGUUUUGGAUGGGCGUGCGCCUGAUUAGGUAGUUGGCGGGGUAACGGCCCACCAAGCCUGCGAUCAGUAACUGGUGUGAGAGCACGACCAGUCACACGGGCACGGAGACACGGGCCCGACUACUACGGGAGGCAGCAGUAAGGAAUAGUGGUCAAUGGACGAAAGUCUGAACCAGCCAUGCCGCGUGAAGGAUGAAGGCCCUCUGGGUUGUAAACUUCUUUUAUCUGGGACGAAAAAAGGGCAUUCUUGCUCACUUGACGGUACCAGAGGAAUAAGCACCGGCUAACUCCGUGCCAGCCGCCGCGGUAA